AUACGGAGGAUCCGAGCGUUAUCCGGAUUUAUUGGGUUUAUAGGGUGCGCAGGCGGCCAUUUAAGUCAGCGGUUAAAUCGUGGGGCUCAACCCCAUUCUGCCGUUGAUACUGGGUGGCUUGAUUGCGGUCGAGGUUGGCGGAAUUCGUUGUGUAGCGGUGAAAUGCAUAGAUAUGACGAAGAACACCGAUUGCGUAGGCAGCUGACCAGACCGCAAAUGACGCUCAUGCACGAAAGUGCGGGGAUCGAACAGGAUUAGAUACCCUGGUAGUCCGCACAGUAAACGAUGAAUACUAGUUUUCGGCGAUAUAAUGUCGGAGGCAAAGCGAAAGCGAUAAGUAUUCCACCUGGGGAGUACGCCGGCAACGGUGAAACUCAAAUGAAUUGACGGGG
rnacentral:rRNA from 1 species